rnacentral:rRNA from 2 species
GUACCCACAAUUACUUGGAUAACUGUGGUAAUUCUAGAGCUAAUACAUGCAAACAGAGCUCCGACCGGAGACGGAAGGAGUGCUUUUAUUAGAUCAAAACCAAUCGGUGGCGGGUUGGUGACUCUGAAUAACUUUACGCUGAUCGCACGGUCUCGCACCGGCGACGCAUCUUUCAAAUGUCUGCCUUAUCAACUGUCGAUGGUAGGUUCUGCGCCUACCAUGGUUGUAACGGGUAACGGGGAAUCAGGGUUCGAUUCCGGAGAGGGAGCCUGAGAAACGGCUACCACAUCCAAGGAAGGCAGCAGGCGCGCAAAUUACCCACUCCCGGCACGGGGAGGUAGUGACGAAAAAUAACGAUACGGG